UGGAGGAGGGCAUGGCAACCCACCCCAGUAUUCAUGCCUGGAGAAUCCCACAGACAGAGGAGCCUGGUGGGAUACAACCCAUAGUGUUGUAAAGAGUCAGACACUACCGAAGUGACUUAGCACACACGUACAUGUGCUGACUCCUAUUCAUUCAUUCGUUCAUUCAUACAACAAAUAUUGAUUGAACACAUUCAAAAUUCCAUGCCCUUUUCUAGAUUUCAGGAAUUUAUCAGUGAACAAAAUAGACAAAGAUUCCUAGUAUCAUGGAACUUACAUUAUAGGGUGGGAGGGGGAGAUUAACAAUGAAUAAUAAGCAUGGUAGACAUGUUAAUGACAUGGUGUGUUAGGAGGUCCUCAAGCCAAGGAAAAACAAGAACACAGAGUGAGACCAGGAGCCCAGGGAGAGAUACCAGACAGAGGCAUCUCCCUGUGCCUUCUCCGCUGUCUGCACUGUUCCCACCAUCAUGGGAAACUUCUCAGUCUAAGAUUUCUUUUUUCACCAUCAUCUUCAUUGACAAGGUCAUUAUUCAACAGAUAUAAAUCACUGUAACUCAAAAAAAAAAAAAUCUGAUUAAAGAGAUUUCAAGAAAAGGUACGGUGAAUUAGUGAAUUAUUCACAAUAGAAUUGGACCUCAAUCAAUAUGAAAAGCAAUAUUAAAGUGAUAAAAAGCUGGAAGGUGGAGAAUUCCCAAUGGGGCUCCUCCAGCUAGACCUUGAGCUAUACCCUGAGCAUUCCCUCUGCACAGAUCAGAUGCUGACAGGAUGAUGGAAAGAUGAUCACUGCCUUUCUCCAGGGCCGCAAGAGACUUUCCUAGGCCUCUGUUCUUUCCCAGGCCCCCAGCUCUGGCUGAAACAGAAAGAAGGUCCAAUGUGGUUUAGAAGGGCCCCAGUCCCAACCUUUCUCUCUCACAUGUCUGUGUCUUUCUUCUAGUCUCCUUAUCCUCCAAGAAUCCCUGUUAUGUCUUAUCUUUAGUCUUCCCCAUACUGCUAUCCAUUUUUUCCUUGAGUAACACUAACUAAUCACCUACUAUGUACCAGGCCCCUUGCUAGCCACAGGGAACACAGAGCUGAGUGACCCAGGGCCCCUGACGAAGGUGCCCUCAUCCUAGAACAGACAAGUAAAGAGACCUUCGGAAGUGGCCAAGAUGAAUGCUCUGACAGGGGUUGUGUGAAAUGCUAGGUGAGCACUUUGGGUGGAAAUACUCUGCUCCAGAGAAAUUUGGCAACAGACACAGUCCUUGUCUCCUCUCUUUUCUGGGUUGGGAGCCCCCUCUGAAUGUCCCUGUGUUUACAUCCAUCUUUCUUUCUAGUUUGUACUGGAAGUGUGCGUUUUCUCAGCCGGCCUUCCCACCAGACAGUGAGUAGUCUAGGCAAGACCUAUGCAUCUUUGAUAGUCCUUGUAUCUCCAGCACAUAGCCCAGAGUGAUGACUCAGAACAUAAGUUCCUGUACUUAAUGCAUGUACUUUUGUACUGGGCCUUGAAAGAAGAGUCGGAGUUCAACAGGUGGGAGAGGGGAGAAUAAACUCGCUCAUGCUGUGAGCGUCACAAAUUAGCCAAAGGAAAGAAUCACUAAUGGCAGAAUUUCAUGCACAUUGGAGGAGGCAGAGAAUUGGGGUAGGUGGACUUUCCAAUGUCUUCCGUCAUUAUUGAAGUUCCCUCUGAUAUAUUUUCAGCUGUAUGUGAAAGAUUAUUAGAGAGGUGGUCUAAUCGUGUCCCCACAGUGAGAAAGGCUAUCAAUCCUCCUCUGUCAUCCCAGAUGUGUAAUUCAAGACCCACUCCAGAUACAGGAAUCUCUAUAGAUUAUUUGGCGACAGCUUUUGUAAGUGAGGCAGUGAGAUAAAGCAUAGAAAGUGUGAGUUUUGAAGUCACACUGACCCGGAUUCAAGCCCCACACUGCUACUUCCCAGCGAUGAGUCCCUGGGAAAGUCACUUAAUCUUUUUGAACUUCAGUUUCCCACAUCUGUAGAAUAGAGGAAAUAAUCAUAAUUCCUACUUCGUGGGGUUUUAUAAAGAUUGAAUGAGACAGCAUGAAUAUGUUUGCGUAGUACAUGGUUUUUCUGGAAGUCAUGUACAGAUGUGACAGUUGGACCAUAAAGAAGGCUGAG
rnacentral:lncRNA from 1 species